rnacentral:rRNA from 1 species
UACGAAGGGGGCUAGCGUUGUUCGGAAUUACUGGGCGUAAAGCGCACGUAGGCGGUCUGUUAUGUCGGAUGUGAAAGCCCUUGGCUCAACUGAGGAAGUGCAUCCGAAACUGGCAGGCUAGAGUACGUAAGAGGGUCGCGGAAUUCCCGGUGUAGAGGUGAAAUUCGUAGAUAUCGGGAGGAACACCGGUGGCGAAGGCGGCGACCUGGGACGAUACUGACGCUGAGGUGCGAAAGCGUGGGGAGCAAACAGG